rnacentral:rRNA from 1 species
AUGUUGGUUAAGUCCCGCAACGAGCGCAACCCCUAUUGUUAGUUGCCAUCAUUCAGUUGGGCACUCUAGCGAGACUGCCGGUAAUAAACCGGAGGAAGGUGGGAUGACGUCAAAUCAUCAUGCCCCUUAUGACCUGGGCUACACACGUGCUACAAUGGUUGGUACAACGAGUUGCGAGUCGGUGACGGCGAGCUAAUCUCUUAAAGCCAAUCUCAGUUCGGAUUGUAGGCUGCAACUCGCCUACAUGAAGUCGGAAUCGCUAGUAAUCGCGGAUCAGCACGCCGCGGUCGAAUACGUUCCCGGGCCUU